rnacentral:rRNA from 1 species
UGUUUGAUGUUCUAACGUGGACCCGUGAUCCGGGUUGCGGACAGUGUCUGGUGGGUAGUUUGACUGGGGCGGUCUCCUCCUAAAGAGUAACGGAGGAGCACGAAGGUUGGCUAAUCCUGGUCGGACAUCAGGAGGUUAGUGCAAUGGCAUAAGCCAGCUUGACUGCGAGCGUGACGGCGCGAGCAGGUGCGAAAGCAGGUCAUAGUGAUCCGGUGGUUCUGAAUGGAAGGGCCAUCGCUCAACGGAUAAAAGGUACUCCGGGGAUAACAGGCUGAUACCGCCCAAGAGUUCAUAUCGACGGCGGUGUUUGGCACCUCGAUGUCGGCUCAUCACAUCCUGGGGCUGAAGUAGGUCCCAAGGGUAUGGCUGUUCGCCAUUUAAAGUGGUACGCGAGCUGGGUUUAGAACGUCGUGAGACAGUUCGGUCCC